GAAAUGCGAUAAGUAGUGUGAAUUGCAGAAUUCAGUGAAUCAUCGAAUCUUUGAACGCACAUUGCGCCCGCCGGCAUUCCGGCGGGCAUGCCUGUUCGAGCGUCAUUUCGACCCUCAAGCCUUAAUGGCUUGGUGUUGGGGCGCCCGCGCCAGCGCGCGCGGGGCCCUCAAGUCCAUCGGCGGGCUCGUCGGACACUGAGCGCAGUAAUUAUUCUUCGUUCGGCCUGUCCCGGCGGGUUUCCUGGCCGUUAAACACCUCAAAUUACCAAAGGUUGACCUCGGAUCAGGUAGGAAUACCCGCUGAACUUAA
rnacentral:misc_RNA from 1 species